rnacentral:rRNA from 1 species
UACGAAGGGGGCUAGCGUUGUUCGGAAUUACUGGGUGUAAAGCGCGUGUAGGCGGCAGGCCAAGUCGGUGGUGAAAGCGCCCGGCUCAACUGGGCGAGGUCCAUGGAAACUGGUCAGCUGGAGGACGGUAGAGGCGAGUGGAAUUCCCGGUGUAGCGGUGAAAUGCGCAGAUAUCGGGAGGAACACCAAUGGCGUAGGCAGCUCGCUGGGACGUGACUGACGCUGAGACGCGAAAGCGUGGGGAGCAAACAGG